rnacentral:rRNA from 1 species
CCUACGGGAGGCAGCAGUGGGGAAUUUUGGACAAUGGGCGCAAGCCUGAUCCAGCCAUUCCGCGUGAGUGAAGAAGGCCUUCGGGUUGUAAAGCUCUUUCGCAAGGGAAGAAAACUUAUCCUCUAACAUAGGAUGAGGUUGACGGUACCUUGAUAAGAAGCACCGGCUAACUACGUGCCAGCAGCCGCGGUAAUACGUAGGGUGCGAGCGUUAAUCGGAAUUACUGGGCGUAAAGCGUGCGCAGGCGGCUUUGUAAGUCAGAUGUGAAAUCCCCGAGCUCAACUUGGGAACUGCGUUUGAAACUACAAGGCUAGAAUAUGUCAGAGGGGGGUAGAAUUCCACGUGUAGCAGUGAAAUGCGUAGAGAUGUGGAGGAAUACCAAUGGCGAAGGCAGCCCCCUGGGAUAAUAUUGACGCUCAUGCACGAAAGCGUGGGGAGCAAACAGGAUUAGAUACCCUGGUAGUCCACGCCCUAAACGAUGUCUAACUAG